ACCCUUCCGUAGCUGAUGGAAUUGAUGGAAUUUUGAUCUGACACCAGAAUCAUCAAGUGUUGACAAAAGUCAUCUCUUUCAUGCAUCAAGCCUCCAAAAUUGAAACACAUGCACCAAAGAUUGUGUGUCCUGAUCAUACUCAUCCUCAGAAUGUAUCAUUUCAUAAUCUGUAUUUCUGGUGUUGCUAUGUUCAUUUUGACCAACUUGAACCUGUACCUCUUGCCCCUUAUUCUCUUAUAUCCCUGCUGCUUGUUGUUGCCUUCUUUUGAUGGCAUCUCUCUUCUUUUUGCUUAGUUUGCCCUGAGAUUUGUUUUUGAUAGUUUGCCCUUGGUUUGUUCCCCCAUUGUCUUGUAUGUUUUGUUCUUAUUCUCUCUUAUGAACAUUCUGUUUCUGAGUGUUAUGAGAAGUAUUAACAUUACCCUGUUGAUCAUUCUGUUUACUAUGUCCAUGAUGAGAAGCAUAUAUAUUUUCACUUAAAAG
rnacentral:lncRNA from 1 species